GUGAAGUGUUUAAGAGUACAGGAAGUGUCGAGGCAUUAACACAGACACUUGUCGUUCAGUCAGUCAGACAGUCAUCAGUUGGACAGGAUGGAGCUCCGUCCACUCUGUGUGAUGUUCUUGCUGACUGAACUCAUCCUCUGUACACAAACAGGUGAUUUAGGUUGCACUAACACUUCCUGUCAGCAGCUGUACAUGUGAAGGAUCAUUUAGUGCCCUCAUAUUUCUGC